rnacentral:misc_RNA from 1 species
GGCAAGCUCCUAGCUGCAGAGAAGAACGAAGUCGUGGACUUCACCAGCCAUGUGGACUUCUCCACCUACCCCGCUCACUAUGUGAUCUUCUGGGAGCUGAGCUCUGAUGCAACUGACGAAGUUCUUAACAGCUGCUGUGACUGCUUGGACCGUGCCUUUGUGGAUGCUGGCUACGUUGGGUCGAGGAAGAGUAAAGCCAUCGGACCCCUUGAGCUCCGUGUGGUCCGGAAG